AGUCUGACAGCUGAUUGGCUGCUCGGAGAUGCAUAUAAUUACCAGCAACUGGCGCUGGGUAGGCAAAGCCGGGAGAAACUGCUGAGACGAGUGGUGCGUGUUUUAAGACCAUGGUUGUGUUCCUGCCGAGAAGGAUCCGACUCUGAGGCAUUGUCAUUGAGGAUGUGGCAAACAUGAGGGCUGGGAGCUCAAGGCCAUUGCUUCGGAGCGAUGAGAGCUGGCGCUGCAGAGGGCAGGAACCAAAAUCUGAAGCCCCAGCGGUUCCCAGAUACACUGAGGUUCACGGCCAAACAUGGGCCCAGAGCCCUGACCAGCACCACUGAUGGGACCAGAGGGGACCCAGGGCAAACCAGCCCCCUCAGCCUGAAGAGGAGCUCAGAGAGGCCGGCCAUCUUGUCUUUGUAUAGGACACCAUCGGCCACACUCUGAAUAUCCAGCUGGAAGUGUUUUUGUUUUUAUAUUGGAUGCAAUUGUCUAAUGUGCAGUAAGAGCCUAUUCCCGUGGCGGUUCAGCUGUAUUUCUCAAAGAAGCUGUGAUGUCAGAGUUCCACCAAGACUCUAGAGGAACAGCCUCCUUGCCCAGAGGGGUCUGCUUGAAUAUGCCAGGGUGUACUGGGAAUCUUAAAUAAGAGAUGAAAGCCCACAAUCUGCCAUUGCUUGACACACUGUGGUUUUCCCGGGGUUAUAGCCUGGGGUCAAUAUUCCAAGGAACACACUUUGGGGACCCACUCAAGGAAGAGCCCUCAUAAUUAAAGGUCUCUGUUUCUGUAUCAGUUACCUACUGCUGUGUAACAAAUCACUCCUAACUUAGCGCUUUAAAACAAUAGGUAUUUAUUAUCUCAAAGGGUCUGUGGCUCAGGAAUUCAGAAGUGCCGUAACUGAGCAGGAGGAGAAGGGGGCGACAGAGGAUGAAAUGGUUGGAUGGCAUCGCCAAUUCAAUGGACAUGAGUUUGAGCAAACUCUGGGAGAUACUGAAGGGCAGGGGAAGCCUGCCGUGCUGCAGUCCAUGGGGUUGCAAAGAGUCAGACGUGACUCAGCAACUGAACAACAUAACUGGCUGGUCCAGUCUGUGGUCUCCACUGAAGUUGCAGCCCAAACAUCAGCUGGGGCUGCUCUCAUCUGACUGGGGCUGCGAGAUUGGCUUCCGAGAUGGUGUGCUCACGGCUGGCUGUUGGCAGGAGGCCUUGGUUUCUUGCCCCAUGGAGUCCUCCACAGAGCUGCUUGAGUUUUCUCACUAUAUGGCUUCCCCUAGAUGGAUGCCAGCAAGAAAGACUGAAGCCCCGGUGCCUUGGAAUGCGCGUGUGGUCCUUUCCACACUGUCCUCCUGGCCCCGUGGGGGCAGCCCUCUUCAUUGCGGGAAGGGCUGAAGUGGGUGGAAAUCGUCUGGAGACCAUCUUGCAGGCCGACUACCAUGUGAUGGCUACAAGGACACAAGUAGCUUUGCCUCCUGGAGACACAGAGGAAAAUUCCAUGACCCGUGUGAACCCAUGUCGGGGAAGACUGAAGUGGGGUGUAAACUCAGGAUGGAUAAAUGCCAAAGAUACAGUAAAUAGGGGGCACGAAUUGGAUCCCUGGUCUGGGAAGAUCUCACAUGCCGCAGAGCAACUAAGCCCCAUGCACCGCAACUACUGAGCCCACGUGCUGCAACUGAGGUAUGAAGCCCACACCCCUUAGAGGCUGUGCUCUGCAACAAAAGCCACCGCAGGGAGAAGCCCACACCACGGCAGAGCAGCGCAUUGUUGCCGCAGUGAAGAUCACGCAGCAAUGAAGACCCAGCGCAGCCAUAAAUAAAAUAACAGGUAAAAUUCUAAAAUACAAAGAACACGAGGAGUCAGGGUAAGCCGAGGGGUCUUUGGCUUUGCCCCAGUCUCAUGCUGGGAAAAAGGGUCCCAUCUCUGGUGGUGGCCUAGUGGUGAGGAGCAGGCACCUGGUUGCUCAAGUCACCAUGUCCGUUAUUAACUCUGUGACCAGGCAAGUAACUUCACGGCCCUGUCUCCCGUCUGUGAAAUGGGGUGAUAAUGGCCAACUCCUCCGGUUAUGAUAAGGCUUCAGAAGGUUCUGGAAUGCUUUAUCCUGGCAAAGCUGAUGGUGGAUCACCAAGGUGGUGGCACCCUAGGUUCAAAGAACCUUCGUAGAAGUGCCAUUGCCUGGAAAGAUCUUUGCCCUGUGACUGAGCAUGGACCCAGAGCCACAGAACAGAUAGUCGCUGCUGCUGGGGACCCCUGUAUGGGCGACCCCAGGGGCUGGAAGGAGCUCAGCCCUUGCUUCUGCUGGGGGCAUGUGUGGGCAUGGAGCUGGCCCAGCCCUUUCCUGUCCUGUCCCAGCAUGAUUUCAACAGAGGGAGCGUCCUGGGCGUGUUUUCCCCUCGGAAAUCUCACCCCGCUGAGGUGGGAUUUGGGGAGCUCUGGCUCAGUUUGCUGCCCCAACCAACAGGCCAGGCUUAGAGAUGCUCAGAAACCAGAGUGGGGAUACAAGUUCCUGACCCGCAGCCUGGGCCUGGCCUGGUGGAAGGUCUUUGGCUCAGGCCGGCCUGACAGCCCUUGACUCCAUCCUUCAGGGCUGUAUGACUCCAGACAAGUGUCUCCGCCUCCCAGGCCCUCAGUUUCCCCAUCCCUAAAGUCUCAGGCUGGGCCUGCCUGCCCACCCUAGGAACCUGGGGUUUCCCAGGAGGACACAGAGCUUAUGUAGAUGUGCAUGGGGAAGUCCCAGGCCACCUGCUUCCUUUCCAAUCAAGAGAGCUCCAUUUUCAUCUCUGGUAUAUUGAUGAUCUAAGUAGCACUUCAUUUUUAAAAAGAAGAAGAAAAAAGAAAAGGAAACUCAGCUACAGCGAAAACAAUACAGAAGUUUCCUACCAACUUAACUUUGUCCCCUGACUCAUGCCUUCAAGCUCUGCAGGAGUGGAGCAGUCCAUCAGCUAGGUUUAGUGACUGCUCCUUUCUGAAUAGUUCCUAGUCUCCUGGAUUUGAACCUCUGUUUCUUUCAGCCUCUGUGAGGUCCCAUGAAAGGUGGGGAGAGGAAGGGGCUUUAGUUGGUAGGGGGCGGUCCACAGAGAUCUUGAGGUGCCAAGGACAUGGACAGGCUGAGUGUGCUGGCCUCCUCUCUGGACACGUGCUGUGGGCAUCUUGGACACGUGCCCCCUCGGCCUCUCUGUGCCCAAGCAUCCCCAGCUCCGGCCCAAGGCCCAGCUGCGUUUGGGCCCCCAGUAGAAGCCAGGGCCAGCCCUUGCUGCCUCUGAAGUGAGGAGUCUGUGGGCCUGGAUGUUUCUCAGCCCCUCCCAACUUCAACACAAAUUGCUGCAUUUAUGAAGCUCCAGCUGUCUGCAGAAUGGCGUCUGGGAUGGGGGAGGGGUGGAUCCUGUCCUGGGAGGAGGAGCCCCCUCAGCUGGCUGCCUCCAGCUGGACUGGGGAUGGCAGGGCUCAGAGUGGCCCCUGGGCCCCAGGAGAACCAGGUGCCAGGCCCAGCUGCCAGGCUGCCAUUUGAAAUGUCUCCUGUUGGUGGCACUUUGGUAAGUUGUAGGUAUUCUGGUCUUCGCAUAUAUUUGAUCUGUAUCUGAAACCCGUGCUGGUUUCAUUUCUCAGCUAUGGGAUUCUUAGUGCCUAAGACUGAACUUGACCAUGUCAUUCCCCAGGUAAAGGUUUUCCAUGGCUUCUCACUGCCCUUAGAAGACAAUCCAACCUUGAAAGUGACCCCAAACAUUUUGGGAUCUGGCAAAGGCCUAGCUCUCCCACCUAGGGGCUCUCGACCCCGCACCCUAUGCCCUCCAGGCACAUAGACUGAACCAUGAAAACUCCCCUCUCGGGAGCCUCACACCCUUCUGCCUGACACACUCUCCUUCUCUUUUUCUUGUUGCUUGCUAAAUGUCACUUCUUCCAGGAAGCCCUCCCUGCCUAAUUGAGCGACUUCAGUUCACAGUCAGGCUCACUCUGUACUUUUCCUUUGUAGCACACUCAUCACUGUCAUGAGCUAAAAAAAAAAAGCCUGUUUAUCUGAUCCGCACUCCACCCCCCAGUAGAAGGUGGGCUCUGUGGGUGCCCGCCAUUGGAUUUUCCUGUUUAUACCAGAUGCAGUGCUGGGCACCCAGUGAACACUCUGGAAACGUUUGCCCAGUAAGUCCUUGAGUAGUCACUCUGUGAUCCCACUGACGGCCUGUUGAUCCAGGUUGCUAACCUGUGGCCCACCGGGGCUGCCGGCGGUGCAACUGAGCGGGUCACGCCGGAGUCUGGGAACCCAGGCCCAGCCCCAUCCUCCGGCCUGUGGGCUCUGCCUGGAAGCGAGGAAGGGGUUAAGUGUUUCUGGCGGCCUCGUGCUGUGUCUGCGGCAGUUCCCCCUUCCGGGGCUGCAGCAGCCGAGGUUGGCGAGGAAUGUUUGCAAUGCAGAGCUAGGAGGGAGGGCUGUUGAAAGUAGGGGCCUGUGGAGGCCGGGCCGGGCCAGGCUCCCCAGUUGAGCAAUCGCCCAGGCCCAGCCGGUUCCUGUAACUCCUGCCCCUCCUGCCUUUUCCCGCCCUGCCGGCUUCCUCCACCCGCUGCCUGCCAGGCAGUGGGGGCGGCCUGUCCUCUGGGGCCUGCAGCGAGAGGUAGAGGGACAGAGGCCCCUGAGAGCCUAGAGGCCGGGGUGAAAAGGAGGAUCUUCCAAAGAGAGAGAGGAGUGCAGUCAGCUCAGCCACUCUGGCCCAGAGAGGGUAAGGCUUUUGCCCAAGGUCACACAGGCAGGCGCCACCAUCCAACUGGGCCACACCCUGGAUUCAGACUUUUUUGUUCCCAUGGUAGCAGGCUACAACUCAGCACCGUGUGGAGGCCACUUUGCCACUCAGAUGGGAAGCUUUGAUUCCCAGAGACUCUCUCCCACCUGAAGGCCGGGCCUCUCCUGCCCCGAACCUGGCUCUUCACUCAGGGCUAGGGUCUCAGAGAGAAGGGCGGCUCUCAUCGGGCUGGGUGCACCCACCAUCCCCAUCACUGUCCCAGCACUGUCCAGUACUCAGCCUGUCCUGGGGACACUGGUCCCCUCCAGGAGUGUGGAGGAAAUGGAUGAACACCCACCACACUCAAGCUGGUUCUCAAAAGCCACCCAUUCCUGGGACUUCCUUGACGGUCCCGUGGUAAUGACUCUGCCUUCCAGUGCAGGGGACAUGGGUUUGAACCCCUGUAGGGGAAUUAAGAUCCUACACUGAACUAAGGUCCUACCCGCCACAGGGCAGUGAAGGCUCAGUACAGCCAAAAGAAAACAAACAAAAAACCAGUCCACUCCUUCCUCGAAUUCCCUUCAAGGAAGAAGCUUCGUGAGUUCUGAAUAGCAUGUUGAGCCCACAAAACUGGUCUUUCUCCACAAGCACACACCUUCUUUAGGGACAGCAGCAUUCUUACAAUGCAGAAAGAGCUCCUUCUGUUGACUGUUAUUUACAAGUGGCCUCUGGGGAGGUGGUCCUUGCCAUCAUUCAGACCCAGUUCAACCCGGGUUCCACUACCUUCAAGUUUGUGGCCAUGCACCUCUUUCCGAGCCUCAGCUUCCUCAUCUGUAAAGCGGGAUUCAGAGAGAGGGUGGGUGGAGCAGCAGGACCGCUCUGGUUCUGCGGAGACUCUGGGCCACUUGCCUUUUCUGGUCCCACAGACAUUCAGUCUGCUUGGGGCUGGCUCAGGGUGUCCCCUGCCGGGGCCCUGGGCUUUGCCCAAUUUGCCAGCAGAUAAUGGUCUCAGAGCCCUCAGAGGUGCCGUCUUGGCCACAUCUGUCUGGAAUGGGCAGUGGAGCCCCUGGGACCCCAUCUCUGCAGAGGGCAGGGUGGGCGGUCUGUGUGAGCUAGGAGUUCUGUGAGAAUCAAACACGGCGUUUAGAGAUGAGGAGGCUCGUAGGACAAGCGGCCGCCAAGCCAUGCAGGCAUAGUGAGGAAUUUUCACCUGAAAAACCACACCAGUAUACCAAGGACCUUCCUACACUCUGCUCUGCAGCUAAGUCCUACUGUGAGCCAGACAAUGGCUGACCUACUUUAUUCCAACAAUACACCUAAGAAGGAAGUAUAUUGGUCCCCCCCCACACACACACUUUUUCUAAAAAAAGAAAACAGAGAGGUUGAUGCAUUUGCUCAAGGUCACACAGCUUGUAAGGAGUGGAGCCUGACUUGGAACUCAGACCUCCAGAAUCUGUGCUCUUAGGGGAUCUCUUCCACACCUGGUUUGGGAUCCGGGCUCUUCAUAGAGGAGAUGGGCCACCUUGGGUUAGUCAUUAAGCCCCAGAGCCAUGAAUUGAGGGGAAAAUCUCCAGCAUCCCCUGUGGGUGGGGGAGGCACUGCACUAAAUUAUCACUAUCACUGGCUGAGCAGAGCUCAGAGAGGGCAAGCCUCUUACUCCAGGGCACACAGCCGGUCCAGCCAGGACCCACUCUCAAACCGAUUGAUGAUGCCUUCUGGUCCCCUGGCCCCCCUGGCUCCCUGUCGGAGCUCCACCAAGUCCGUGGCCUCCAUCAAGUCCGUGGCUGGGAAGGACUUGAACAACCGACUGGCCUCCGCAGACAGAUGGACAGAUGCUGGCCGCCCCCCUCCCAGGGCCGGCGGGCUUGGAGGCUUCACCACCUCCUCCCGAGCAGGUUUCCUUUAAGAAACCAGAAGAUUGAUUUCCUGGCAGGCUCGCCGAGGAGCCCGUCCAAAUGGUUUGCAUGUCUGCAUUUUUUACUGCUCCGUUUAAUAUGUAUGCAAAUGCUGGCCGGCUGCACAGUCACACGCGGCGCCCCAUUAAAGCGCCGUUCGGGCGCGCGCAUCAUUCGAGGCGACGGGCUCGGCGGCCCUGAUAGAUGGGGUGCGGGGAUGGAGACAAAUGACGGGCUUUUGUAAUUUCUUUCUCCCUUUUUCGGGGGCGGUGGGUGGGGGGCAGCUCAAGCCUAGAAACAGCAGAGAAGAUUUAAAUAUAUGCAAAAUUGUUUGGGGGUUUGGGGGGGCGGUGUAGAAAGCUGAACCAGGAGGAGGGAAUUCACUGUUCUCCCUGGGAAUCGGGCUGAAGGCUGGAGGGGGGAGCCGAGCCCCACAGUCACCUUCUGGCAGAGAGAGCGGCUUUGCUACUGAUAAGCAGGCUCGGUCCUAUGGGAAGCGCGGCUUCAGCCGCAGAGAAAAGGAAAAUGCCGGUUAUUUUCAGCCCUGUUACACCUGAGAGGCCACUGCUGCGAGUUUUUACCAUCCCACCCGCGCCCCCCACAACUUAAUUUUCUUGGGCUUCCAGGGCUUUUAACUUUAUAGGUAUAUGGGUGUCAUUUAACUCUUCGCAUUAGCCCUAAAAGGUGGAUCACACCCAUUGCACAUAUGGGGAAAUUGAGGCUCACAGUCCCGUGGGGAGGAUUGCAGAGUGAGUAGUGGGGGGUGGAUGGGAUUCUCAGAGCCAUUCCUUGACCCAGUCAGCACUUGGCCAGCUCUUGCUUUGUGGAGUUUGCUUCCAGCCAUGGAGGGUGGGGCGGGUGUGGAAUCUGCCCAGACUAACCCCUCCUCAACAACCCCUGCUCUCCAACCCUAGCUCCUCUUACAGGGUCCUCAGCAUCCUACCUGUCCCCGCCUGCCUGGUAACACAAGCCCACAUCAGAACGAGCCUGAAGACUCGAAUUUCCGAAAUAUUGUUUCAGCCUAAAAUCUGAAGUGUGAGUUUUAAAGGAAUCUUUUCUGAGUCCUCAGGACUUUAGGCGACAAUGGCAGCUGGGGGGCAGCCUGGAGGAUCAUAUGAAGAUGCAAAGAUUUCCCAGAGGAGGCUCCAACCUAAAGAGAUGGCCAUUCUGGAGCAGAUAGCUCAGACCAACUGGAGAGGCAAUUGUGUGUGUGUGCGUGUGCAGUGUGACAGUGUGUUGGUCUCUGUGUGUGUCAUCGUGGGUGUUUAUCUGUUUGCCAGUGUGUGCGUCUCAGUGUGAGGGUGGGAUUGUGCGCGUGUCCAUGUACACACGUGCGUGUCAGCAUGCAUGUGUGUGUGUCGAUGUGACAGCUGAGAGCGCCUGUCCUCAGGCUGGCGAGCAGCUGGAGUGUGAAUUUCCCUGAGGGUUUCCAUCUCCCUGCAGUGUAGGCCUCCUGCCUUCUCCAUCCCCACCCAGAAACCUGCUCCCCUUUCCAGCGAAAAUCUCUGCGGUUUCAGCAGCAGAAUGGAGGGCGGGACACCCCACAGGCAGUUGUGAGGAUCCAAAAAGGCUGAGCCCCCCCAAGGCCCCGCAUAGAUGAGGACUGUGGUUACCGGGGGAUGGGGCGUAGCCUGUUGCCUGAUGGGUGAGCCUGGGAAUUCUGGGAAGGAAACCAGGACCAUGCACAGCUCUCUGGAGAAGCUCAGCUUGUGUAUAUGCGCCUGAGCGUCACAGCUCCCAUCCCUCCUUCACCUCCCACCCCUCCUCUAGGUCCAUCCCCAACCCCCCACCCCACCCCUACUCUUUUCCAGUCUCUCAAGUUCACCCUGCCCUGGAGUCUCCUGGGCCAUCUCUCCUGGAGUUUCCCCCAGAUACCCCCUGGGCCCAUCCCUUCCCCCCCAACCCUGCUCCCUGCAGGAGUCCUCCCUGACCAGCGUCUUCCCCUUGCCUUUGCCACCUCCUACAUCCCAACCAGUUGCUUGUCUGUUUCAUUCUGUCUCCAUCAUCUAUCCCUCAGGAACGUGAACCCUGGGGGAACCUAAAAAGUGGAGGGUUCUCUCCAGGACGUUCCUGAUGUUCACGAACAUCUUGGGGCCCCCGCCCAGGCCAGGCUCCUUUUCCAGGCUCAGGUCCUUCGCUCUCGACAGAUCUUAUUCACCCUGAGGCUCACCCUCCAUGUCCACGGAGCCCAACCAGACGAUGAUGACCCCGUGUCCUAAGUCCUCCCCCACUGGUUUGUGUUUUGGGACAGUCCACCCUUCUUCCAGGCCUCAAGGUGUCACCUCCCCUGAACUGGCCCCAACCCCAGUCAUCAUACCAGUGGUACUAAAGUAACUGUUUCCUGCAGCCUGUCAAGAAAAUUCUUUCAUUGAGAACCAUUUUGAAUGGCCCUGGACAUUGCCCCUUUCUGAAUACCUCUUCCCCUGGGACCCUCCGAAGCAUUCUUUAGGGCCUCCCACCGGCUUCCCAGGUGGCGCUGUGAUCAAGAAUCCGCCUGCCAAUGCAGGAGACACAAGAGACUCUGGUUCCAUUCCCUGGAGUAGGAAAUGGUAGCCCGCUCCAGUAUUCUUGCCUGGAGAAUCCCACAGACAGAGGAGCCUGGUGGGCUACAGUCGGUGGGGUCACAAAGAGUAGGACACGAUUGAGCAGCUGAGCUCGCAUGCACAUAGGAACUAAGCUCAGAGAGCCUGUGAGCGUGGGGAGAGGGUGAGCCCUGGGUCUCACUAGGGCCUCCCCCAGACUGGGCCAAGCACACAGUAGUCUCUGGACUGUUGAAAUAGACAAGGGAGAGGAUGAAUGCACGGGCUUGCCCCGUGGCCCCCUUGGGGUCCACACUCUUACUCCCCAGCUGGUUGGGCGGGGUUGGAGGGGGGAGGCUGCUGUGUGUGGACCAGCUGAAUCAGGCCCUAACCCCAGGCAAGGGGCCACCUUGGCUCCCGCCGAUCUUGCUGACUGGGCUGAAUUCGCGUCUGUACCUCCCUCAGCAACCCGCCAUUACUCAUCGUUGGCAUUUAUCCCCAAGCAAGGGGUGACCCUCGGAGCAGCCGCAGGCCUCCCGCAUGUUCUGAGGAAGGGGUGGCCGGAGGCUGGGCUUCGAGGAGGCACAGCAGGAAUUGUGAGCAGCUGCUCUGAGUGCAAUGACCAUAUUUUUCUGAGCUGAAAAAUUAGGACACAGGAUGUAGCAGAGGGUUUUCUCAGAUUUGUUCAUUCGUUGAGUGCAAAAGUCUUAACAAAGGUACGAAACCUAAGGCUUAUGUAGUUAUGUAGGUAAUGCAUUGUCUUGUUGAAAAGCCUCUGAGGUUCCCAAAUCAGGGAGAUUCUGGAAGCUGAUACUUCAAUUUGACGAAUAUCUGGGGUGGAGGGGGGCCCUGGGUCAACCCUGUCCUUGGUGCUUGGGCAAUAAUGGGGAGCAAAACAGGGGUGAUCCUGGCCUCAUAGAGCUCUCGUGGGGAGGCUGACAUUCCUUAAAUAAUUUCACAUUUUAGGACCAAGAGAAGUGGUAUGGGGGUGGGGGAGCGUACGGAGCCAUGAAGGCCAACCAUUCCCAUGUGGACCGCAGGUGGGGAUGUCCGGGAAGACAUCUUUUUAAAUUAUUUGUUUAUUUUUGGCUGCAGUGGGUCUUUGUCGCCGAGGCCUGUCUCUAGUUGCAGUGAGCACAGGCUGCUGUUUGUCUUGGUGCGUGAGCUUCUCAUUGCAGGGGCUUCUCUUGUUGCAGAGCACAGGCUCCAGGGCAAGCAGGCUUCAGUAGCUGCAGGGCACCGGGCUUAAUGGUUCCACUGCCUGUGGAAUCUUCCCAGACCCGGGAUCGAACCCGUGUCCCCUGCCUUGGCAGGCAGAUUCUUAUCCACUGGACCAACCAGGGAAGUCCCAGGAAGACAUCUUUGAGGGAAGAAAGUUUGACACGAGACUGAGCUCUUUGGGCGUUUGCUGUGGGAGGGAUGGGAGUGGACUGGAGUGAGGGAAGUACAUUUUAGGCAGGAGGAAAGGUAUGUGCAAAGGGCCAGUGGCAGAAAGGAGGGCCGGGUGUUUGAGGGACAGGAGACAGCCCAGGUGACUGCAGUGUGCUGAGCGAGGGGAAGAGGAGGUGGGAGAGGUCGGCAGGGGCCGGUGCCAGCAGUGCUCACCAGUCCAUGAGACGGUGGUGGAUAUUCUCCUGCUGGCAGUGGAGCCAGGGACUGUUUGGCACAGGCGGGACCUGAUCGUCCUUCUGGAUGUGGAUAAUAAUGAGGAUGAUGGCAAUGUUGGUUAUUAAGGAAAGUGUUUAGUGAGCACUUACUAUGUGCCAAGCACUGGCUACCCUUUCCAGUGUUCUUGCCUGGAGCAGCCCAUGGACAGAGGAGCCUGGCUACAGUCCAUGAGCUUGCAAAGAGUCAGACACAACUGAGAGACUUAAGUAUGUAGGCAUGCAUGCAAGCACCAUUUCAGCCAUUCUACAGAGGAGAAAAGUGAAGGUUGAGGAGGGAAGUGGUUUAUCUGAGGUCACAUGGCUGGCGAAUAGCAAAGAUGGAACUCUGAGUAUGCUGGCUCCAGAGUCUCUACCCUUGUCCCCAACACAAAGCUGCCCUAGUUUGGACACAGAAGGACAAGGGACAUGCAGAUGACCGCACCCUCCCCCCAACCUCUCAGCCACUGCCUCCUCUCUGCUGUGUCCCAGGCGUGGGUGGGGACUCUGUGUCACCAGGUCAGCCAGGGCUGGAAAGGCCCAGCUCAGUCCCUGCUCAGGCCCAGUAGGGAAGUAGAGGUUGCAACAUCAGAGGCUGAGCUUCUGGAGAAGUUGGGACCCCAGCGUGGGUGGACAGGUCAUUGGGGCGCAAGUCCCAGGAGACCACAGCCCCAUUCAUCUGUUUGGGAUUCAAGGACUUUGAAAUAUGGCUAGAGCAUUCCCAGGCUUCCCUGGUGGCUCAGAUGGUAAAGAAGCCACCUGCAAUGUGGGAGACCUGGGUUUGAUCCCUGGGUUGGGAAGAUUCCCCUGGAAGGGGGCAUGGCAACCUACUCCAGUAUUCUUUGCCUAGAGAAUACCCAUGGACAGAGGAGCCUGGCAGGCUACAGUCCAUGGGGUCGCAAAGAGUCAGACACAACUGAGCGACCAAGCACAGCAGAGCACAAAGUAUCCCCAGGACCAGAGCAGCAUCUCUGCCCCCUGCUUCCUCCUCUGGAAGCAGGUCCAGGGGAUCACACCUGUGGCAUUUAAAAAAAUCCUAUUCCCAGGACUUCCCUACUGGUCCAGUGGCCAAGACUCCAUGCUCCUGAUUCAGGGGACUCCGGUUCGAUCCCUGGUCAGGGGGGCUAGAUCCCACAUGCCUCAACUAAGCGUUUGCAAGCCUCAACUAAAGAUGCCAAAUGCUGCAAUGAAAAUCCUAUGUGCUGUAACUAAGACCCAGAGGAGCCAAAUACAUAAAUAUUUAAAAAAUCCUAUUCCCUCGGUGACCAUCAGGGAAAUGUAAAUCAAAAGCACAAUGAGAUACCACCCCACCUAACAC